AUAUUACUUUAGUUUGGUAGUUGAAAAUGUUUUUUAUUUUGGCUAAAUUACAGAAAACCCUUCUGUAAUAACCCGCUUUUUCACUUUUUCCCCCUGACAUUUAAAAACCUACACUUUGCCCCCUGUAAAAUGAAAAAUGUUCACAGAGGGUUACGGUGUCUAAAAUGACCAUUUUACCCCUCGCCAUUAUCGUCUUCUUCCCCAUCUUCCUCAGCCGCCCCUUCAUUCGGCCGUGAUUGCCACCUCAAUCGGCCGCGAUUUCUCUCCAUUUCCUUCUCCACCUGCUCCCCUUCUCCUCCUGCACCCUCGCCGUCCUCGAUUUCGGCGACAGUAGGAGAAAACCGAGGUGGGCGACAGUAGGAGAAGGGCAAAGAAGGCGAAGGCGAGGCGGCGGAGGACGGCGAAGGAGAUGUGGGUGAGGGCGAGGCAGUGGAGGACGGCGAGGCCGCUAGGCGGCGAGGCGGCGGCGAGGUGGCGAGCCGGAGGGAGGCGAAGGAACAGGGAGAUGGCGGAGGGGUAUUUUUGGCAUAAAAAUAUAUUUUUUAACGGAACCCUAACGGUAGGGAGUGAAGUGCACAUUUUUUAUUUUACAGGGGGGUAAAGUGUAGAUUUUUAAAUGUCAGGGAGGAAAAGUGAAAAAACGGAUUAUUACAAGAGGGUUUUCUGUAAUUUAGCCUUUUAAAUCGAAUGAUUUAAUUCUUUGCCAAAUACAGCAGUUCUCCUUGUACAGUUUCGAUUGCAGUUGGUGGAAUCAAAUGUACUGAUCCUAACACUAUAUUUGAAGUUAUAUGUAAGUUAGAACUGCAAUGCAAUAGUUAUUACGUGCUACUAAAUAGCCCUCAGAUGAACACUUUUAUGUUCAAUAAGGGGAUAUAUAUAUAUAUAUAUAUAUAUAUAUAUAGAGUGAGGCUACUAUGCUAUCGGAAGCACGGAGCCUUCCGUGCUUCCAGCUCGUUUUCGAUGUUGCGACUUUCGAAUCGUCGAUCGGCUCCGUUAAACUUGAUCUAGAGUAUUUGGAGUACCUAGAAAAUAAAUUUUAUUAUUUUUCGAUAUCAUUUGCCUAGUGAUCGAAUGGGCUCAAAAUCAACAAAUUUCAAUGGCCAUAGUGAGCCGUUUGCAAGUUUAACGGUGUAGAAAUAUCCAAAUCACGUGAAAUUUUGAUAGAAAAUUCUUUAUACUAUAUAAAACAAGAUCAAUAUCUUUGAUUUAAAAUUUUAAUAUCAUAUUAUUACAUUUUGUAAGAUUUUUAUUUUCAGCCGUUGAUUUUGAGCCCCUUCGUUCACUAGGCAAAUGAUAUCGUAAAAUCAUAAAAUUUAUUUUCUAGCUACUUCAAAUACUCUAGAUCAAGUUUAACGGAGCCGAUCGACGAUUCGAAAGUCGCAACAUCGAAAACGAGCUAGAAGCACGGAAGGCUCCGUGCUUCCGAUAGCAUAGUAGCCUCACUCUAUAUAUAUAUAUAU
rnacentral:lncRNA from 1 species